CAGUCCCCCUUGUUUUUUUUUUAAGGGAAGAGAAGGCCAGAAGAAUAGGCAUGUGACUGGGAGGAGUGCUGGAAGAUAGCUCUGAGGAGAGGGAUCCAGAGCUUAAUCUACUUUCCUUGAUGAGAUGUUUUACUAACCAGUUUCCGCAACCAGUCUUGGAAAACUCAGGAAUUCAUUCUCCUCCGUCGCAUGAUCAUGAGGAAGAAAAUUCAACACCUAUUUGGUUUGCCCUUUGCUCUUUCAGAGGCAGAACAGAUGACCUCUUGAAGUCGCUCUCAGCUUGAAGGUUUGGGCCCUGCAUUCUUCCAAAUGUCAGAGAUCUUUGCGGAGGAAGGCACGCAAGGAGGUGCUGGGUGGUAAAUGCAGGUGUGGGGAAGGGGUCAAUUAGUGAUCAUUUUCCUGCAGGUUAUCAGGGUGGUGCCAUCAGGCGCAGUAGUACUGAAGUCUGCUGAGCAAAGAGCAUAAACUCCAAAAGGCCCUUUCUGGAACAGAGAGAACCAGGGCAGCAUCCGUUCUACUGCUGUUCCUGCCAGCGACGCCGUGACACGCAGGAGCACACAGGUCUGU
rnacentral:lncRNA from 12 species